AAGAGGAAGUGAAUCCAGAUCAAGUCGGUCUGGUACGUCCUCCUGCUUGACCCUACUUCUCUCUAGUCCAGAGACAUAAUCUGUAAGACCUCGCACAAAGUCUUCACUAACUGGGACAUAUAUAGCACGACCUCUUUCAUGGGAACAAUCAGUGGACCAGGGUGCCAUGGCAUCAUAUUUGUCUGUCCCCAACACAGCCAGUGGAGAUGAGGCACAAGACGAUAAAGAACAUUCGGCAACGUUGGAUAUGAGCAGAAGCUUUGGGGAAAUGCUUUUAUGCGACACAAGUUUUUCGCCUUCUAGCGACACCCCAACAUCAACCUCUGGUUCAGGUUCUGGCUCUGAAAAAGAACCGGAACACGAAAGAAAGUGGAUUGUGAAUGAAUCCAAACUAUUAGAACUGUUCAACACAUGCAAGACCUGCGGCUCAGCAGUGGAAAACAAAAGGAUUAUAACCCAUGGCAGCCAAAUCAGAGUUCUUUGGACAUGCUUGAAUGAUCACCCUGGAAGUUGGGCUUCAUGUCCAGACAUUAGAGGGAUGGCAGAAAAUAACCUGCUCAUCAGCGCAUCCACUUUCUUCACAGGAACCACCCAUACCACCAUUUCUGACUGGGCUGACCUUCUUCAUA